AUCCUUUUCUGGUUUAUAAGCAUGAUACUUGGGUUUUCACACUCCUGUUUGAUAUGUGCCUCCAUUCAACCUUAUUAAGAAGUCGGCACAUGACCCUCUGACA